AUGGGCUGGCAAGAAGAGUAAGAAGGCUUUGAUACUUACCACCUCUUGCCUUCCACAGGC
rnacentral:pre_miRNA from 1 species